UACGGAGGGUGCGAGCGUUGUCCGGAAUCAUUGGGCGUAAAGGCGCGUAGGUGGCCUGCUAAGCGUGCGGUGAAAGCUCGGGGCUCAACCCCGAGUCGGCCGUGCGAACUGGUGGGCUUGAGCACUGUAGAGGCAGGCGGAAUUCCGGGUGUAGCGGUGGAAUGCGUAGAUAUCUGGAGGAACACCGGUGGCGAAGGCGGCAUCCUGGACCAACACUGACGCUGAGGAGCGAAAGCCAGGGGAGGCAA
rnacentral:rRNA from 1 species